UGGGGAAUAUUGGACAAUGGGCGAAAGCCUGAUCCAGCCAUGCCGCAUGAGUGAAGAAGGCCUUUGGGUUGUAAAGCUCUUUUAGUGAGGAAGAUAAUGACGGUACUCACAGAAGAAGUCCUGGCUAACUCCGUGCCAGCAGCCGCGGUAAUACGGAGAGGGCUAGCGUUAUUCGGAAUUAUUGGGCGUAAAGGGCGCGUAGGCUGGUUAAUAAGUUAAAAGUGAAAUCCCGAGGCUUAACCUUGGAAUUGAUUUUAAAACUAUUAAUCUAGAGAUUGAAAGAGGAUAGAGGAAUUCCUGAUGUAGAGGUAAAAUUCGUAAAUAUUAGGAGGAACACCGGUGGCGAAGGCGUCUAUCUGGUUCAAAUCUGACGCUGAAGCGCGAAGGCGUGGGGAGCAAACA
rnacentral:rRNA from 1 species